CUCCUCGCCCACCGCAAUAACCGGGCUGCUCACCUUUGGGUGAAUUUUAGCUUCCCAGUGGCUGUUCUAAUUCCCGAGGCUUGGCCAGUGCGCUGGCUCAGUGGAUAAAGGCACAUGCCCCUCCGCCCAUUGACCAGAGUUCAAUCCCAAGACCUACAUGGUGGAAGGAGAGAGCCCAUUCCCGUCAGCUGUCCUGUGACUUCCGUACUCACACGGUGGCACAUGUACACACGGUUAAAUAAACAGAUAAAUAAAUAA
rnacentral:lncRNA from 1 species